rnacentral:rRNA from 1 species
GACGUGGAGCGGCCGAUGCCGGAUUAGCUAGUUGGUGAGGUAAAGGCUUACCAACGAGGCUCGAUCCGUAGCUGGUCUGAGAGGACGACCCAGCCACACUGGGACUGAGACACGGCCCAGACUCCUACGGGAGGCAGCAGUGGGGAAUCUUGGACAAUGGGCGAAAGCCUGAUCCAGCAAUGCCGCGUGUGGGAAGAAGGCCUCGGGUUGUAAACCACUUUUGGCGGGAAAGAAAUGGUCUGUGCUAAUACCACGGAUUGAUGACGGUACCCGCAGAAUAAGCACCGGCUAACUACGUG